AACGAACGCUGGCGGCAGGCUUAACACAUGCAAGUCGAGCGCCCCGCAAGGGGAGCGGCAGACGGGUGAGUAACGCGUGGGAAUCUACCCAUCUCUACGGAAUAACGCAUGGAAACGUGUGCUAAUACCGUAUACGUCCUUCGGGAGCAAGAUUUAUCGGAGAUGGAUGAGCCCGCGUUGGAUUAGCUAGUUGGUGGGGUAAAGGCCUACCAAGGCGACGAUCCAUGGCUGGUCUGAGAGGAUGAUCAGCCACACUGGGACUGAGACACGGCCCAGACUCCUACGGGAGGCAGCAGUGGGGAAUAUUGGACAAUGGGCGCAAACCUGAUCCAGCCAUGCCGCGUGAGUGAUGAAGGCCCUAGGGUUGUAAAGCUCUUUCACCGGUGAAGAUAAUGACGGUAACCGGAGAAGAAGCCCCGGCUAACUUCGUGCCAGCCGCCGCAGUAAAAC
rnacentral:rRNA from 1 species